rnacentral:rRNA from 1 species
UACGAAGGGGGCUAGCGUUGUUCGGAAUCACUGGGCGUAAAGCGCGCGUAGGCGGAUUGUUAAGUCGGGGGGUGAAAUCCCGAGGCUCAACUCCAGAACUGCCUUUGAUACUGGCGAGCUUGAGUCCGGGAGAGGUGAGUGGAACUGCGAGUGUAGAGGUGAAAUUCGUAGAUAUCAGGAGGAACACCAGCGGCGAAGGCGGCUUUCUGGACGGUAACUGACGCUGAGAACGCGAAAGCAUGGGGAGCAAACAGG